rnacentral:rRNA from 1 species
GUGCCAGCAGCCGCGGUAAGACAGAGGGGGCAAGCGUUGUCCGGAAUCACUGGGCGUAAAGCGCACGCAGGCGGCCGCGCACGUGUGGGGUGAAAGCUCGGGGCUCAACCCAGAGUCGCCCCCGCAUACGGCACGGCUCGAGCCCGGGAGAGGUCCCUCGAAUUGCCGGUGUAGUGGUGAAAUGCGUAGAGAUCGGCAGGAAGACCCAAGGGGAAGCCAGGGGACUGGCCCGGUGCUGACGCUCAGGUGCGAUAGCGUGGGGAGCGAACCGGAUUAGAUACCCCGGUAGUCC